UACCUGGUUGAUCCUGCCAGUAGUCAUAUGCUUGUCUUAAGGAUUAAGCCAUGCAAGUCUAAGUAUAAGUAAACUUCACAGCGAAACUGCGAAUGGCUCAUUAAAACAGUUAUAGUUUAUUUGAUAAUUAUUAGAUGGAUAACUUUAGGAAAUCUAGAGCUAAUACAUGCCUUAAAGCCGGAUGAUUUUUUCUGAAGGCCGUAUUUAUUAGAUAUAAACCAAUCGUGUUCUUACACGUUUUGAUGAUUCAUAAUAACUUCUCUGACCGAUCCCUCUGGGUGAGGUAGAUCAUUCAAGUUUCUGCCCUAUCAGCUUUAGAUGGUAGUGUAUUGGACUACCAUGGCGAUCACGGGUAACGGAGAAUUAGGGUUCGAUUCCGGAGAGGGAGCCUGAGAAACGGCUACCACAUCUACGGAAGGCAGCAGGCGCGUAAAUUACCCAAUCCUGACUAAGGGAGGUAGUGACAAGAAAUAUCGAAUCGGGUGCCUUUGUGCAUUGCGAGUUUGAAAUGAGAACAAUCUAAAAAACUUAUCGAGGAGCAAUUGGAGGGCAAGUCUGGUGCCAGCAGCCGCGGUAAUUCCAGCUCCGAUAGC
rnacentral:rRNA from 1 species